rnacentral:lncRNA from 1 species
CUCAGAAGCCCAGACUGCACAAGGGGAACUUAGGGAAUUCAUGUGUCAAGGUUAUCUAUGGUGGUGGGGGAUUUAGCUCACUGCCAAGAAUCUAAACCAAAAUGAAGAAAGGGACAAAAGCCGAAAGGGAGAUUCAAGAUUGGGGUUAAGAGGGAGGGAGGUAUGGGAAAAAAGAGAGUAACUGUGUCCUGACACAUUCUACAGUGGGAGUGGGCUGGGAAAAAUAUGUUUGCACAAAGGCUGCUUAAAUAGUUCAAGGUUUCCCAAAGUAGAGUCUGAGGAAUACCAGUUUUGUUGGACAUUAAACAGGUAUUAUAUAAGGAAAAUGUUCCAUGGCCAAAUAUUUUUGGGAAGCAAUAGUAAACUAGAAUUUUUUUCAACAGCAGAUUUAAAAACCUUUAUCAUACUAAUGUGGACCGUUUAUCUUCAGGAAGAGUAAAGAGUAACCAGAAUGCAUCCAUGGGUCAUGUGUGACUGGAUCACAGGAAUGGUUUUCUUAGGAGCAUCUUACUGGAUGCAUCAUAAGAAGUGCUUGACUAGGUUAUGAAUGAGCUCAUUGUGAACAAAACCACAGAGGUGGUGGACGCAAUAGAUAAUAGUUCUGGAAAAAUCCCAAGUUACAAUAUCACUAUUCUGUAUUCCACCUUUCCUAGAUCUUUCCUCUCUUGCUGGUAUACAGGAUUUCCUUGUUUUAUACAUUUUUUUAAUGUUUAUACCAUUUCUUGGUAUUGACUGAUAACACUCAAUACUGAAAACACAAGUGUUAAAAACAAACAAACAAACAAACAAAAACCUUUGUAUGUGUGAUCAUAGCAUGAUCUUUAGACAUAUCCCACUCUCCC